rnacentral:tRNA from 1 species
GUGGGCGUAGCUCAGCGGUAGAGUCCCUGACUGUGGAUCAGGUUGUCGUGGGUUCAAAUCCCAUCGCCCACCCCA